rnacentral:rRNA from 1 species
GGGACACGUGGUAUCCUGUCUGAAUAUGGGGGGACCAUCCUCCAAGGCUAAAUACUCCUGACUGACCGAUAGUGAACCAGUACCGUGAGGGAAAGGCGAAAAGAACCCCGGCGAGGGGAGUGAAAAAGAACCUGAAACCGUGUACGUACAAGCAGUGGGAGCACGCUUAGGCGUGUGACUGCGUACCUUUUGUAUAAUGGGUCAGCGACUUAUAUUCUGUAGCAAGGUUAACCGAAUAGGGGAGCCGAAGGGAAACCGAGUCUUAACUGGGCGUUAAGUUGCAGGGUAUAGACCCGAAACCCGGUGAUCUAGCCAUGGGCAGGUUGAAGGUUGGGUAACACUAACUGGAGGACCGAACCGACUAAUGUUGAAAAAUUAGCGGAUGACUUGUGGCUGGGGGUGAAAGGCCAAUCAAACCGGGAGAUAGCUGGUUCUCCCCGAAAGCUAUUUAGGUAGCGCCUCGUGAAUUCAUCUCCGGGGGUAGAGCACUGUUUCGGCAAGGGGGUCAUCCCGACUUACCAACCCGAUGCAAACUGCGAAUACCGGAGAAUGUUAUCACGGGAGACACACGGCGGGUGCUAACGUCCGUCGUGAAGAGGGAAACAACCCAGACCGCCAGCUAAGGUCCCAAAGUCAUGGUUAAGUGGGAAACGAUGUGGGAAGGCCCAGACAGCCAGGAUGUUGGCUUAGAAGCAGCCAUCAUUUAAAGAAAGCGUAAUAGCUCACUGGUCGAGUCGGCCUGCGCGGAAGAUGUAACGGGGCUAAACCAUGCACCGAAGCUGCGGCAGCGACACUAUGUGUUGUUGGGUAGGGGAGCGUUCUGUAAGCCUGUGAAGGUGUGCUGUGAGGCAUGCUGGAGGUAUCAGAAGUGCGAAUGCUGACAUAAGUAACGAUAAAGCGGGUGAAAAGCCCGCUCGCCGGAAGACCAAGGGUU